CACGUAGGGUGCGAGCGUUGUCCGGAAUUAUUGGGCGUAAAGAGCUCGUAGGCGGUGUGUCGCGUCGGCCGUGAAAACCUGCAGCUUAACUGUGGGCUUGCGGUCGAUACGGGCAUCACUGGAGUUCGGCAGGGGAGACUGGAAUUCCUGGUGUAGCGGUGAAAUGCGCAGAUAUCAGGAGGAACACCGAUGGCGAAGGCAGGUCUCUGGGCCGAUACUGACGCUGAGGGAAGCGAAAGCCGUGGGGGAGCGAACAGG
rnacentral:rRNA from 1 species